rnacentral:rRNA from 1 species
AUUGAACGCUGGCGGCAUGCCUUACACAUGCAAGUCGAACGGCAGCACGGGGCAACCUGGUGGCGAGUGGCGAACGGGUGAGUAAUGCAUCGGAACGUACCUUUCAGUGGGGGAUAACGUAGCGAAAGUUACGCUAAUACCGCAUAUUCUGUGAGCAGGAAAGCAGGGGAUCGCAAGACCUUGAGCUGAUUGAGCGGCCGGUGCCAGAUUAGCUAGUUGGUGAGGUAAAGGCUCACCAAGGCGACGAUCUGUAGCGGGUCUGAGAGGAUGAUCCGCCACACUGGAACUGAGACACGGUCCAGACUCCUACGGGAGGCAGCAGUGGGGAAUUUUGGACAAUGGGGGCAACCCUGAUCCAGCCAUGCCGCGUGAGUGAAGAAGGCCUUCGGGUUGUAAAGCUCUUUCGGCCGGGAAGAAAUCGCACGGGCUAAUACCCUGUGUGGAUGACGGUACCGGAAUAAGAAGCACCGGCUAACUACGUGCCAGCCGCCGCCGUAACAC